rnacentral:rRNA from 1 species
UAGUCCACGCUGUAAACGAUGAUAACUCGUUGCUGGCGAUACACUGUCAGUGACUAAGCGAAAGUGUUAAGUUAUCCACCUGGGGAGUACGAUCGCAAGGUUGAAACUCAAAGGAAUUGACGGGGGCCCGCACAAGCGGUGGAGCAUGUGGUUUAAUUCGAUGAUACGCGAGGAACCUUACCAAGGCUUAAAUGCAGGACGACAGGAUGGGAAACCAUUUUUUCUUCGGACGGCUUGCAAGGUGCUGCAUGGUUGUCGUCAGCUCGUGCUGUGAAGUGUCGGGUUAAGUCCCAUAACGAGCGCAACCCCUAUUUCUAGUUGCCAGCGAGUAAUGUCGGGGACUCUAGAGAAACUGCCGGUGUAAACCGCGAGGAAGGUGGGGAUGACGUCAAAUCAUCACGGCCCUUACGUCUUGGGCCACACACGUGCUACAAUGGUAGGUACAGAGGGACGCCAUGUGGUGACACAGAGCAAAUCUCCAAAAGAUGUCUCAGUUCGGAUUGGGGU